ensembl:lncRNA CDKN2B-AS1 CDKN2B antisense RNA 1
CUGGUCUUCUAGGAAGCGGCUGCUGCCCUAGACGCUGGCUCCUCAGUAGCAUCAGCACGAGGGCCACAGCGGCGGGCGCCCCUGGCGCUGCCCACUCCCCCGUGAGCCGCGGGAUGUGAACCACGAAAACCCUCACUCGCGGCGGGCCGCACGCGCGCCGAAUCCGGAGGGUCACCAAGAACCUGCGCACCAUGUUCUCGCCGCCUCCAGGGCCGAGCUCGGCAGCCGCUGCGCCGCCCUUUGGCACCAGAGAUUUGGAAAACAAGCGAAAUUAAACUAAACCGCUGCACGCCUCUGACGCGACAUCUGGACACGGCGCGGCGCUGGCGCUGCCGGAGCUGUCGACCCGGCCUGGCGCCGGACUAGGACUAUUUGCCACGACAUUUCAAAGGAUUCCAAGAGAGAAUAUUGGUGUCCAUGCUGUGAUGAUUCCUCAGCUCCUCUCAUCUGAUCUCCGUCCUGGCCCCCAUGACUUUCUUUGUGGUAGUUAGGGUGUGGUAUGUGCCACUGAGGCCCACACCUAUUGCUGCAAUUUAUAGCACUGAUCUGUCAUCAAUACCACUUGCUGUCUUGGAUGUGAAGAUGAUUUUUCCUGCAGGGAUUCCCUCUACAAAAUUAAAAACACUGGGCAUGUGGAAAUAAUAUUCAUGCUUUAAAUUGUCUUUUCUCUUCACUACACCAGGGGUCCCCAACCCCUAGGCCACAGACUGUGGCCCUAGUGUAGUGAAUAGAAAAGACAAUUUAAAGCGUGAAUAUUAUUUCCUCAUGCCCAGUGUUUUUAAUUUUGUACUGGUCUGUGGCUUGUUAGAAACCAGGCUGCACAGCAGAAGGUGGGCAGCAGGUGAGCAAGCAUUACUGCUUGAGUUCCGCCUCCUGUCAGAUCAGCAGUGGCAUUAGAUUCUCAUAGGAGCACAAACCCUAUUGUGAACUGCACACGCAAGGGAUCUAGGUUGUGCGCCCUUUAUGAGAAUCUAACUAAUGGCUGAUGAUCUGACGUGGAACAGUUUCAACCCAGAGCACCCCCCACCCACCUGCAGAAGAAUUGACUUUUACGAAACCAGUCCCUGGUGCCAAAAAGGUUGGGGACCACCGCUGCACUACACUACCUAAAAGAUUUUCACUUUCACAGUGUUGCUUGCUUCUGUUUUACAUGCACAAGUAGCUAAAGCUAGCCUUCUGGUAAAUGGAGGGGCAGAGCAGAUGGUGGGGGAGGAGUACAUACGGACGAAUUUGAAUCACAAUUUCCUCACUAUAUGCCAGCAAAAUUUAAUAAUAGCACCUAAACAUACACAUGCAUAUGUAAAUGAGUCACACUAUAAAAACUUUUAACAAGUACUGGCAAGUCAGAUGGCAGACUUACCCUGAAACCUGCCACUCCAAUAAAAACCUCAUAAUUAAAAACAAGGCUGUCUAUAAAGCAUAACAUAUAAUAACAAUUAUUUGCAACUGGUACAAGGCUAGAUUAGAAAGUUGAAAGUUAUCUUUCUCAGGUAAAAAUGCUUUUCCUAUACAGUAUGCAGCCAGCAGAUUAUCAUCCAUAGUUUGAGUAGUGAGAUGCCACUUGCUCCAACAAUUAACACCUGCUGAUGUUGGUCCAAGAAGAGACUGAGGUGAUGCAGUUUCACCUGUUUUGUAAGAAUAACGCUGGUGUUUGCCAUCUAUUGACAGAGUGCCUACUACGUGCCAGAUGCUUUGUUGGCACUGAAUGUGCUAUCUCAUUCCAGUUUCUUUAUACUCAAUGAAAAACCAACUACAUUUAUAUUGCAUUGAGGCUUAAAGUGGUUUACUGACUUGCUUAAGAUUAUACAAGUAGUAGGUGGCUACAGCAGGGUUUGAACCCAAGUAUGCUUGAUUCCCCAAACCAUGCUUUUUAAAAAAUCAAAGGUGUAACUUCGAUAAAAGACAUGAAGUUAAUGAAUAUAUGAAAGAUGGUGAAUAGAUACAGAUACAAUGUGGCCUUAGGCCAGAUCAUGUUGAACAUGUGGUGGGAUAGAUAAGAGAAGGUUCUUCUUUGUUGUUACCUGGUUCUCAAUUGGUUAUUACUUUAUGUGCUUUCCAUAUUAAAAUUCUAUUAUUCUGGUCUAUAAAUUCACCCACCCAGACUUGCCUAAACUAAUUAAACCCUGAAGUUUGGCAUGUCUCUUUUUUGGGGUGCCUCUAUGAUAGGUGGUAGAAAUGAAAAUGGAAUUAAAAGUUUUGUGAAGCUAUAGCACUACUUUUUCAUUGUGUUCCCCCCUGACUUUCUGCCUUAGGUGUUUACUUUGGUGAGAUAUCCUGGGAGAAAUUGAGGUGAAAAGAAGCCCGAGUUAGGAUUAGGGAAGAGAUGAAGUAGUCAAUAAAAUUCAAAUUCUUGUAUUCU